rnacentral:rRNA from 1 species
UCCGACCUCAGAUCGGACGA